rnacentral:lncRNA from 1 species
GGCGCUACUACCUGCCAUCUUACAAAAAAAGGUGUAAGCACACCCAAUGAAGAUUAUGAGGGCAUUGGCUGAUGGGUUGACCGCUUGGUCACCAAAAAUCCCAUGUGUUGCAAGAAUUGACAACAAAAACAUGUUUCAUAUAUACCCUCAUGCAUAAGAAAGAAUAUGUAUGCUCAUUACUUCGAAGCGAUCAAUUUCCUGAUCCCCAGUUCUUAUUGAGACCUAUGUGGAAAAAUGAAUCUGAAAAGGAAUAAAAAGAGCACAUCGAAUUGUGAGGCAGCUGCGCCGCCAUGAACCUGUGCUGGCUUGAUCCCAUGUCCGCCGUCAGGGGCCGCUUGCGUUCAUCUCGCCCGUCGCCUAGGGCUCCCAAAUCCAUGUCUUGCACCGCAGAUCCUCCUGCAACCAUGCCGCAGCGCGUCGCACCGAUGUCCCUCGUGCUCCUACAGAAGCACACUCAGCAAACACAAAACUUAUAUCUCAGACUAAAAACACACUUGGGAUCACCACAUAUGAUGAGGCAGAGCACGACACAGUGGCACCGCUAGAGUUGACCACCAAAUUGACCCAACCAUGGAUCCCAAUGGCACCCAUCUGUGUGGCAUUCCAGCGAGCAUGCUGCACUCACACACUACGGAACGCAUAUUUCUCCUCCUCAACCUCCUGACACUGCCUCCAGGCUCCAGCCCCCCCACCACCGCAACUCGCGUACCUCUCCUCUUCCUCAUCAACCUUCGCCGGAGCUUGGACCACCCCGAC